UACGGGGGGAGCAAGCGUUGUUCGGAUUUACUGGGCGUAAAGGGCGCGUAGGCGGCUAUCUAAGUCUGAUGUGAAAUCCCUCGGCUUAACCGGGGAACUGCAUCUGAUACUGGAUGGCUUGAGUUCGGGAGAGGGAUGCGGAAUUCCAGGUGUAGCGGUGAAAUGCGUAGAUAUCUGGAGGAACACCGGUGGCGAAGGCGGCAUCCUGGACCGACACUGACGCUGAGGAGCGAAAGCCAGGGGAGCAAACGGG
rnacentral:rRNA from 1 species